rnacentral:rRNA from 1 species
AUUGAACGCUGGCGGUAUGCCUUACACAUGCAAGUCGAACGGUAGAGGGGCAACCCUUGAGAGUGGCGAACGGGUGAGUAAUACAUCGGAACGUGCCCAGUCGUGGGGGAUAACGUAGCGAAAGCUACGCUAAUACCGCAUACGACCUGAGGGUGAAAGCGGGGGAUCGCAAGACCUCGCGCGAUUGGAGCGGCCGAUGGCAGAUUAGGUAGUUGGUGGGGUAAAGGCCUACCAAGCCUGCGAUCUGUAGCUGGUCUGAGAGGACGACCAGCCACACUGGGACUGAGACACGGCCCAGACUCCUACGGGAGGCAGCAGUGGGGAAUUUUGGACAAUGGGCGAAAGCCUGAUCCAGCCAUACCGCGUGCGGGAAGAAGGCCUUCGGGUUGUAAACCGCUUUUGUCAGGGAAGAAAUCUUCUGGGUUAAUACCUCGGGAGGAUGACGGUACCUGAAGAAUAAGCACCGGCUAACUACGUGCCAGCAGCCGCCGCAG